rnacentral:misc_RNA from 1 species
GACUGGCGUCUACCUGAUUUGAGGUCAAUUGUCAUACAUUGUCCGAAGACUGUUAGAAGCGGUGCUACUAAUGGCAGUCAGCUAAUGGCGUAGAUAAUUAUCACACCAAUAGACUGUCCGCGCGAGCGUCCAGCUAAUGCAUUUCAGGGGAGAAGGUUCCGCGAGAAACCUUCAAAUAAAUAAACCCCCCACAUCCAAGUCUUUCCCAACAAAAGCUGGUAAGAUUGAGAAUUUAAUGACACUCAAACAGGCAUGCUCCUCGGAAUACCAAGGAGCGCAAGGUGCGUUCAAAGAUUCGAUGAUUCACUGAAUUCUGCAAUUCACAUUACUUAUCGCAUUUCGCUGCGUUCUUCAUCGAUGCGAGAGCCAAGAGAUCCGUUGCUGAAAGUUGUAUAUAAUUUAUAGGUACAAGACCCACUUAAUACAUUCUCUAACAUUCUCAUGGUGUAUAUGAAAACAUAGAUCUGAAAUCAUAAGAAAAGCUACUUUGCAGCAGCAAUCCUAACAACUGAGUUUCCCCAGAAAGUUAUUCCAGACCUACAAUGUGUGCACAGGUGGAGAGAUAAAGAUGGCAGACGUGCACAUGUCCCAGAAGGACCAGCAACAAUCAUACCAAGUUCAUUCAAUAAUGAUCCUUCCGCAGGCACCCCUAACGGAGG